CACGUAGGGGGCGAGCGUUGUCCGGAAUCAUUGGGCGUAAAGAGCUCGUAGGCGGCUCGGUAAGUCGGGUGUGAAACCCCCAGGCUCAACCUGGGGACGCCACCCGAUACUGCUGUGGCUAGAGUCCAGUAGGGGAGUGUGGAAUUCCCGGUGUAGCGGUGAAAUGCGCAGAUAUCAGGAGGAACACCAGCGGCGAAGGCGGCACUCUGGGCUGGAACUGACGCUGAGGAGCGAAAGCGUGGGUAGCAAACAGG
rnacentral:rRNA from 1 species